rnacentral:rRNA from 1 species
UACAGGGGGUGCAAACGUUGCUCGGAAUCAUUGGGCGUAAAGCGCACGUAGGCGGUUCGUUAUGUCGGAUGUGAAAGCCCUUGGCUUAACCGAGGAAGUGCAUCCGAAACUGGCGAGCUAGAGUACGAAAGAGGAUCGCGGAAUUCCCAGUGUAGAGGUGAAAUUCGUAGAUAUUGGGAAGAACACCAGUGGCGAAGGCGGCUCUCUGGACCGUAACUGACGCUGAGGCGCGAAAGCGUGGGGAGCAAAAGGG